rnacentral:rRNA from 1 species
UAAACAACCUGCCUUCAGGAUGGGGACAACAGACGGAAACGACUGCUAAUACCGAAUAAGUUCCAAGGGCCGCAUGGCCCAUGGAAGAAAAGGUGGCCUCUACCUGUAAGCUAUCGCCUGAAGAGGGGUUUGCGUCUGAUUAGCUGGUUGGAGGGGUAACGGCCCACCAAGGCGACGAUCAGUAGCCGGUCUGAGAGGAUGAACUGCCACACUGGAACUGAGACACGGUCCAG